rnacentral:rRNA from 1 species
AGUGAACGCUGGCGGUAGGCCUAACACAUGCAAGUCGAACGGCAGCACAGUAAGAGCUUGCUCUUACGGGUGGCGAGUGGCGGACGGGUGAGGAAUACAUCGGAAUCUACUUUUUCGUGGGGGAUAACGUAGGGAAACUUACGCUAAUACCGCAUACGACCUACGGGUGAAAGCAGGGGAUCUUCGGACCUUGCGCGAUUGAAUGAGCCGAUGUCGGAUUAGCUAGUUGGCGGGGUAAAGGCCCACCAAGGCGACGAUCCGUAGCUGGUCUGAGAGGAUGAUCAGCCACACGGGAACUGAGACACGGUCCAGACUCCGACGGGAGGCAGCAGUGGGGAAUAUUGGACAAUGGCGCAAGCCUGAUCCAGCCAUACCGCGUGGGUGAAGAAGGCCUUCGGGUUGUAAAGCCCUUUUGUUGGGAAAGAAAAGCAGCAGGUUAAUACCCCGCUGUUCUGACGGUACCCAAAGAAUAAGCACCGGCUAACUUCGUG